rnacentral:rRNA from 1 species
GCCCCAGACUCCUACGGGAGGCAGCAGUGGGGAAUAUUGCGCAAUGGGGGCAACCCUGACGCAGCAACGCCGCGUGAUUGAAGAAGGCCUUCGGGUUGUAAAGAUCUUUAAUCGGGGACGAAUUUUGACGGUACCCGAAGAAUAAGCUCCGGCUAACUACGUGCCAGCAGCCGCGGUAAUACGUAGGGGGCGAGCGUUAUCCGGAUUUACUGGGUGUAAAGGGAGCGUAGACGGUUUUUCAAGUCUGAAGUGAAAGCCCGCGGCUCAACUGCGGAACGGCUUUGGAAACUGAGUAACUGGAGUGCUGGAGGGGCAGGCGGAAUUCCUGGUGUAGCGGUGAAAUGCGUAGAUGUCAGGAGGAACACCGGUGGCGAAGGCGGCCUGCUGGACAGUAACUGACGUUGAGGCUCGAAAGCGUGGGGAGCAAACAGGAUUAGAUACCCGUGUAGA